GACGAACGCUGGCGGCGUGCUUAACACAUGCAAGUCGAACGGAAAGGCCCUGCUUUUGUGGGGUGCUCGAGUGGCGAACGGGUGUGUAACACGUGAGUAACCUGCCCUUGACUUUGGGAUAACUUCAGGGAACUGGGGCUAAUACCGGAUAGGAGCUCCUGCUGCAUGGUGGGGGUUGGAAAGUUUCGGCGGUUGGGGAUGGACUCGCGGCUUAUCAGCUUGUUGGUGGGGUAGUGGCUUACCAAGGCUUUGACGGGUAGCCGGCCUGAGAGGGUGACCGGCCACAUUGGGACUGAGAUACGGCCCAGACUCCUACGGGAGGCAGCAGUGGGGAAUAUUGCACAAUGGGCGGAAGCCUGAUGCAGCAACGCCGCGUGCGGGAUGACGGCCUUCGGGUUGUAAACCGCUUUCGCCUGUGACGAAGCGUGAGUGACGGUAAUGGGUAAAGAAGCACCGGCUAACUACGUG
rnacentral:rRNA from 1 species